AGCGAACGCUGGCGGCAGGCUUAACACAUGCAAGUCGAGCGGGCAUCCUUGUGGUGUCAGCGGCAGACGGGUGAGUAACGCGUGGGAACGUGCCCUUCGGUUCGGAAUAACUCAGGGAAACUUGAGCUAAUACCGGAUACGUGCGAGAGCAGAAAGGUUUAUCUGCCGAAGGAUCGGCCCGCGUCUGAUUAGCUAGUUGGUGAGGUUACGGCUCACCAAGGCGACGAUCAGUAGCUGGUCUGAGAGGAUGAUCAGCCACACUGGGACUGAGACACGGCCCAGACUCCUACGGGAGGCAGCAGUGGGGAAUUUUGGACAAUGGGGGCAACCCUGAUCCAGCCAUGCCGGGUGAGUGAUGACGGCCUUAGGGUUGUAAAGCUCUUUUCUCCGGGACGAUAAUGACGGUACCGGGGGAAUAAGCCCCGGCUAACUUCGU
rnacentral:rRNA from 1 species